AUGAACGCUGGCGGCGUGCCUAAUACAUGCAAGUCGAGCGUACAGACGAGGAGCUUGCUCCUCUGACGUUAGCGGCGGACGGGUGAGUAACACGUGGAUAACCUACCUAUAAGACUGGGAUAACUUCGGGAAACCGGAGCUAAUACCGGAUAAUAUAUUGAACCGCAUGGUUCAAUAGUGAAAGACGGUUUUGCUGUCACUUAUAGAUGGAUCCGCGCCGCAUUAGCUAGUUGGUAAGGUAACGGCUUACCAAGGCGACGAUGCGUAGCCGACCUGAGAGGGUGAUCGGCCACACUGGAACUGAGACACGGUCCAGACUCCUACGGGAGGCAGCAGUAGGGAAUCUUCCGCAAUGGGCGAAAGCCUAACGGAGCAACGCCGCGUGAGUGAUGAAGGUCUUCGGAUCGUAAAACUCUGUUAUUAGGGAAGAACAAAUGUGUAAGUAACUAUGCACGUCUUGACGGUACCUAAUCAGAAAGCCACGGCUAACUACGUG
rnacentral:rRNA from 1 species